rnacentral:rRNA from 1 species
AAGUCGAACGGGCGUAGCAAUACGUCAGUGGCAGACGGCUGAGUAACGCGUGGGAACGUACCUUUUGGUUCGGAACAACCCAGGGAAACUUGGGCUAAUACCGGAUAAGCCCUUACGGGGAAAGAUUUAUCGCCGAAAGAUCGGCCCGCGUCUGAUUAGCUUGUUGGUGAGGUAAUGGCUCACCAAGGCGACGAUCAGUAGCUGGUCUGAGAGGAUGAUCAGCCACAUUGGGACUGAGACACGGCCCAAACUCCUACGGGAGGCAGCAGUGGGGAAUAUUGGACAAUGGGCGCAAGCCUGAUCCAGCCAUGCCGCGUGAGUGAUGAAGGCCCUAGGGUUGUUUUUUUCUUUUGUGCGGGAAGAUAAUGACGGUACCGCAAGAAUAAGCCCCGGCUAACUUCGUGCCAGCAGCCGCGGUAC